GAAAAUACGAAGAAAGAGACAGAAGAUAAUUAGGAGCUUAGAGAGAAGCCGUGGGUGGUGAAAACGGUUAAGCAAGUGUUAUCUUGAAUCACUCUGGAGUAGCAUCCUGAAAUAAGUAGGGAUCGCCGCAAGUCGCGUUAAGACAAAGAGGCAUCUGACAAGAUGUAAAUUAAGGUGGUACCGCGUUUAAGACGUCCUUUUG
rnacentral:ncRNA from 1 species